AUUUUGGCAAUCACCUGAAUUAACACUUGAAGAAAAUUUAUUCUGGACCACAAAAUUUAUUCAAGUGUGCAGCUUGAACCAUCACUACCAUUUUAGCAUAUGGACCAUGAAAGAAUCCUAUGCAGUACAAUUUGUGUACAAUGUAAAAGGAGUAAAAAUAUUAAACGCCAGCAGAAAUGUUGUAUCUGGAAAAGGUCAGUUCAUGUGGAAUCCUUGUCGAUAUCAACAGUAUCAAUAGGCUGGACAAAUAUCCUCCAAACUUCUUCCUAAGUACUCGAUGAUGUCACCAGUGAGAGUUGAUCUUUUCCUAUUCUCAAAAGCAAGUGAUGCAACCCUCCUCAAUAAAGCAAACCCAGCAAUGCACCCUGACAAUGUUGGAUUUGUUGGUCUGACUGCUAAAUUCCCUUCAGCAGCCAAGAUAUAUUGGCGAGCCCAAGAUAAAAAUACCGCAACACUUCCUGAAAGGAUAUCACCUUGACCCCCACAACGCCUAGGUGAACCAUAGAUGCUCACUGAUUUGACUAUCUCACCAUCAGUAAUAAGGUCAGAUUUUCCUUUCCAUAAGAUGGUUACACCCCUCAUCCUGCCCAAUAAAAGAAAAUACCCGAUUCUAUAAGACUCUUCCAAAAUAGAAUGCACAAUCAACUAGGGACUGUAGCUUUUGAUAAUCGGAGCAGCAUCUUUGGUACAUUAAUACAUGGGACAAAACAGCACCCACAGUUUGCAGAAAAUAAGUCUGCAGCGAAUGAGCUGCCGGAGAACGAGUAGGAUCUGCCGAGAAUGAGCCAAACCAGUUAAGAAUGAGCUAGAUCUGCUGAGGACGAUUCUAUGUUGAGAUUGAUGACACCGAAGAAGAAGCGACCGACGAAGCGCCGAAUAGGAAUGAGGUGAAGUUCUCAUCCGAUGAGAAAUGGCCGAAGAGCUACUGGAGAAAGAAGUGGGGAAUUGGAGGAAUGAUGGAAGGAC
rnacentral:misc_RNA from 1 species